GUUCAAAUGGCCAAAGGUUGAACUUUUACUUGUGGAUUUUAUAUUCUCUUAAAAGCAAGUUAAAUGGUAACCUGCAUUUCAGUUUAUUCAAAGUAUUGGCCUGACCCCCAACACGGAACAGAAGAAAUGGAUCAGUGUUGAGAGAAUUACGUACAUCGCACAGUGACAGCCUCCGCCCAGAAGAAUAUGUGAGACAACUGCAAAUCAGAAACUAAAUGACAUUAUAGUUUGCCAGGUCAGUGCUUGACUUGCUUUUC
rnacentral:lncRNA from 1 species